AGCUUGCUUCUCGGGUGACGAGCGGCGGACGGGUGAGUAAUGUCUGGGAAACUGCCUGAUGGAGGGGGAUAACUACUGGAAACGGUAGCUAAUACCGCAUAACGUCGCAAGACCAAAGUGGGGGACCUUCGGGCCUCAUGCCAUCAGAUGUGCCCAGAUGGGAUUAGCUAGUAGGUGGGGUAACGGCUCACCUAGGCGACGAUCCCUAGCUGGUCUGAGAGGAUGACCAGCCACACUGGAACUGAGACACGGUCCAGACUCCUACGGGAGGCAGCAGUGGGGAAUAUUGCACAAUGGGCGCAAGCCUGAUGCAGCCAUGCCGCGUGUGUGAAGAAGGCCUUCGGGUUGUAAAGCACUUUCAGCGGGGAGGAAG
rnacentral:rRNA from 1 species